rnacentral:pre_miRNA from 1 species
AUGAUUUGUGUUCAAUAUAGAUAUAAGGACAAUGGGGUGAUUAUACACAUGAUCAUUAUUACAUAAAGAUUUCGUCAUAUCACAUAACAUUUUUGUCACUUAUGUGGCAACAAUAUAUUAUUAGAUGUUUAUUGUUGUUUUUAAAUAGGGGGAUCAAGAAGUUAAUUUUAAAAAUAGUUGUAUUAAAAGUUAACAAAAUUGAAAAUACGAGGAUCAAAAUUGAAUUUAACCAAAAAAAACUAAGAGUGUGUUUGGAUGGAGGAAUGUUUUGAGGGAAUGUAAUGUUUUAAGGAAAUUCAAAUACUUUGAGGUGAAUUUCAUUGUUUGGAUAAUAAUUUGAAGGAUUUUCAA